rnacentral:rRNA from 1 species
GGGGGGGGGGGGGGGGGGGGGGGGGGCGGGGGGGGCGGGGGGUGGGGGGGGGCUGGCGUCUCUUGGGAGCGGCGGGCGGGUGAGUAGUGCCUAGGAAUCUGCCGGGUAGGGGGGGAUAACGUUCGGAAACGGACGCUAAUACCGCAUACGUCCUCCGGGAGAAAGCCGGGGACCUUCGGGCCUUGCGCUAUCAGCUGAGCCUAGGUCGGAGUAGCUAGUUGGUGGGGUAAUGGCUCCCCAAGGCGACGAUCCGUACCUGGUCUGCAUGGAUGAUCAGUCACAAUGGAACUGAGACACGGGCCAGAACCCCAAGGGAGGGAGCAGUGGGGAAUAUUGGAAAAUGGGCGAAAGCCUGAUCCAGCCACGGCGCGUGCGUGAAGAAGGUCCUCGGAUUGUAAAGCACUUUAAGUUGGGAGGAAGGGUUGUAGAUUAAUACUCUGCAAUUUUGACGUUACCGACAGAAUAAGCACCGGCUAACUCUGUG